rnacentral:rRNA from 1 species
UACGGGGGGGGGCAAGCGUUGUUCGGAAUUACUGGGCGUAAAGGGCGCGUAGGCGGUUGGAUAAGUCAGCUGUGAAAACCACGGGCUUAACUCGUGGCCUGCAGUUGAGACUGUCUGGCUUGAGUGUGGGAGAGGAGAGUGGAAUUCCUGGUGUAGCGGUGAAAUGCGUAGAUCUCGAGAGGAACACCAGUGGCGAAGGCGGGUCUCUGGACAACACCGUGACGCUGAGGCACGAAAGCCAGGGGAGCAAACGGG